rnacentral:rRNA from 1 species
GUAGGGUGCAAGCGUUAAUCGGAAUUACUGGGGUGUAAAGCGUGCGCAGGCGGUUGUGCAAGACAGAUGUGAAAUCCCCCGGGGCUCAACCUGGGGAAUUGCAUUUGUGACUGUACGGCUAGAGUGUGUCAGAGGGGGGUAGAAUUCCACGUGUAGCAGUGAAAUGCGUAGAGAUGUGGAGGAAUACCGAUGGCGAAGGCAGCCCCCUGGGAUAACACUGACGCUCAUGCACGAAAGCGUGGGGAGCAAACAGGAUUAGAUACCCUGGUAGUCCACGCCCUAAACGAUGUCAACUAGUUGUCGGGUCUUAAUUGACUUGGUAACGCAGCUAACGCGUGAAGUUGACCGCCUGGGGAGUACGGUCGCAAAGAUUAA